rnacentral:lncRNA from 1 species
GGGGGGUCUCCUUAUAUAGUCCUCCCCUUCUAUGCGUUUUUGGGUCGGUAGGCGAUGUGGUACUAUGUUAUUCUGGAUCCAAUAGGUCGGUGGAGAUCUCCCGAGAGAAAGAGUCCUGAUUGGGCUCGGCAGGUGGGCGGGCGCCCAAGGAAACUGGGCGGGCGCCCAGGUCCUGGCCCCGUUUCGCCUCCGCUUCGGUCUCGUGGCUUCUGGAGUCUUCUAGAUGGUAGAAAAUUGCGCGGUGCGUUGAUAUCUCUAUGUAAUCCUGACAUGUGGGCCUUUCUUCCUUAUUUCCUGAUAACCCCCUACAGAAAUAGACAAACACUAAAUCUCGUGGAAUUCUGUCAGAUAAAACCCUAAGUCUAGAUGUUGAUUUCAUUUAGAUCCUUUUCUUUGUUUAUUUGAUAUUUAAAUUUGAUACUUAAGGACCGUCAACAAACUCCCCCAAGCUUACCUCUUGCUCGUCCCUGAGCAAGGAUAGACUUAGCUAUGGAUCAGAAGUUGUUGCAAUAUCUUAAAAAUUUGACGGUACACAUGCUUUUAAAUAAGAUUUCAUCUCUGAGUUAGAGUAAACUGUCAAGAAUUAAAACUUACUUACUUUACCUCUCACCAUGGGACUUGUAACCGUCACUUCUGUCUUGAGUAGUUAAAAGAUAGAACAGUCUAGCCAAGAGCCAUGUCUCUUAUUCUUGAUCAGCUAUAGCUCUGGGGUUUUUGCAGAUUUUCAAAUAAAACUCAGAGAUUCCUUGUAUGACUCUCUCAUAUCUCUCUUUUGUGGUAUUUCUAGAUCCUUACCAAGGCAUUGAUGGUAUAUGCCUUCUCUCAAGAUAUGCGGUAUUUGUGGUAUAAGGCAUAGUGACAUUGCCUUCUCUCUCACCCUACUCUAAUAAGGCUUGAUAUCUGGAGCUCAUAGGUGGGAGACAUUUAAUACAUACUUAUAAGACAUUUAUUGCAUAGUCAAACCAUGGAUCCAGAGAAACAAAUCAAUAAGCCAAAUCAAGAUGUGCAUGUGUGGUGAAUGAAUGGUGUAUGGUGAUGAUGGUAAUAACAAUGGUGGAAGUCUAAUUCUACUUUUGCUCUUUUGAGGGGAUACAUACCUUCCUUGCUUUUUGAAACUUUAUGAGGAGAAUGAGAUGCUCUUCUUUUUCUUUCCUCUCAGGUGGGUAUCUUGUACCCCUAAUUCUACUGUCGGACACUUGUCCAUUUUUACCUCUCAUCUCACUUUUUCUUUCUUUCGAGGUUCCGGGCACUUGCCCCUUUUUAUUUCCUCGUUUAUAUAUAUUUUUUUUCUUCUCUUUUCUUUUUUUUUCAGAGCACUCUUCUCUUGAGAUAAUAUAGCAAGUGGUAGUAACCAAAAUAUUUGGAGCAUUUAUUUCACAGGGAAUAACAGGGAUAGGAAAAUGUUUUUGACUAUUCUCUUCCGGAUUAGGAGUAGAAUAUUUUUGGGUGAUUCUGGAGAUGGAAAUGGAUGGAUAUAUGUGGAUGGUACUUCCGGAGUAGAAGUAGCAUAUAUGAGUGAACGUGCAAGUGAAUCUUGAUUUAUCCACAUGACAAUCUCCUAAGGGUCUACACAGCUUGACCACACUCAAUGCUCAUAAGCAGUAAAAAGUAAAUGUGUGGCUCAAAGUCUAGAAAGCAUGUAUAUAUGGCUGUGGUAGGAAUUUAAACUCUCAUCAUACAGGAACUCAUCAUGCAACAUUUUAAAGAUUUUCAAAGAUAAAAUUCUCCAGAAUUCUAGCAUCUCUAGGAACAGAUAAACAGCAACUCAACUUUCCCAUAUCGUAUCCGUUAACAACUUGGAUUUUUCAUCCCACAAGUUUAGAUCUAGAGCAAGCUUUAAAUUAUAACAGUUAUGUCUAAACUUGAGAGGGAACUUCAAAAUUGCAAAUUAGGCAGAGCAACUAUUCAUCAUAUCCAUGCUAGAGUUUUAUUAUUAAGAUUUAGAUUAGCAUAGCCACUUUAUUUAUUUAUUAAACAUAUUAAGCAAAAGAUAUAUAUAAGCACAAAAUCUUUAUUUGGUUUUUCAUAGUUUAUGUAUUUUAAUAUUCUAACAUAAUAUAAGUAUAAAGAUAGGUAGAAAUACUUAGCGAGAAUAAUGGGGGUGCUUUCCCCCAAGCUGAAUUUUGACGUAAUUUCUCUUGAUGUAGCUAGCAGGUGGCAGAGGUGUAUUUGAAAGUCAGCAGCAUUCUCACAGCGAUUAGAAUGUCCUCCGUCUGCUAGUCUUCUUGAUUCUUAAAUUCUGUGGAGCUCAAAUAGACAACAAAGCUUGUAGAACUAAUUAAGUGUUAGCAUAAAUAUCAAGCCUUCAUCAUGUUGAGCUUCCUUAAUAAACGUUAUUUAUGUAGCAGGAUCAUACACUUAUUAUUAUUAUUAUUUUUAAUAUUUUUAUUGUAAGAUGAUAACUUAUUUAUUUUAUUUUUAUGCCACCACAGUGAAUGUACUUAUGGGUUUUAUGCCAUGAGCAUACUCACAUGGGGCUUACUAUUUUUUUUAACAUUUUUAUUUUCUUUUCAAGAUAGCAUGAACCUGUUUAACUAAGCAAACUAUAAUUGAAUAAUUGAAAGGAAAAGGAUAACUACCAAGUUUACCUCUUGGCAAGGCGUUCGGUAUUUUUAAGUCCUCCGAACGGGACUCUCUGUUUUCUCAGUCGUCCUGGGAUUCGCUAGGUGGCGUAGUCGGUGAUUCCGGCGGCGCCUAUCUUCAUGUAUAACUAUCUUCUCCCUCCACACCUGACUCAGUGCUAUGGUCUCCUCAGGACAGUUCUGUUCAAGCUGUAUGACUUCAGUCCUUACUUUUCCUUCGUAGUCUACCCAUCCGUUCUUGAUGAUUUGCAUCCUCUUGGUUGCGGUUGCGUCGUCUUCUUGUCCUGACCUGCUUAGAGUCUUCAACUAUAUAGUUAUCGUCAGUAAAAUAGUUGCGUACCUUCUCAGAGGGGAAGUACAUGUGGACUUCUCCGGUUCCAAUGUAGAUGAUUGCUUUGAUAGUGUUGAGGAACGGUCUUCCAAGGAUGAUGGGUGGAUCAUAUUCGUCUUCUCCCAUGUCAAUGACCUAAAAAUCAUCUGGAGCUGAAUAUAUUGGUUGUAGGGGCAUGGUUCCAUGCAGGAGGUGAUAAGUGACUGCGGCCAUUAUGUUGUCGUCAGAUCCAGUGUCGUAGAGUGUCUUCUGAAAAGAGUAUCCAUUGAUUGCGCACUCGAUGCUUGGAACACCAGGGUCGUCCUUCUUGAUUAAGAAAGGUGACUUGAGUCGACGAUGUUGACCUCUUCCGACAAGGAUCCAAUGUUUUAAGUCUUCUGGACAAGACUUUCCACCAUCUUAAUCCUUUAGGUGCAUCAUUUUAUUAGGUGUGGACCUUGACGUCUGCACCUCUUGAUACGGUGUCACCCAUGUUCUUCUUUGCCCAGCAGUUUGAAGUAUGGUGUUGGCAAUAUCCUGCUCACUGUGUUUGUGCUCAUAGAUCCAGGUCCUUCACUUGGUGGAGUCUGGGAGUUGUAAAACUCCUCCAUGUUUUGCUUGAAGUGUACCUGUUCAUAGAGACAAGGCAGAGAUCAAGUGCAUGGGCUCUGUUGGUGGAAAACACCAACAGAACCAAAAGUGUAUUUGUUUUUCUCUAACCUUAAGCAUAGUGAGCAAGACAAAGUUGAUGGAUAAUAAGAUCAUGAGUGUAGUAUUUGAAACAUUUGUCAGAUCAGAUGGCUCAACCUAAUGGAAAGAUAAUCUAUCUAUAUUUAUGUUUUGUUUAUAUCUUCCAAAUAUUGAAUGUGCAACAUAUUAGCUUAUAUGUUUAGGAGCGUGGGAUCACGAGGGUAGUACUAAGAACAAAGAUUAAAGGACUAAACAUGUUGAAUUAAUUGAGUUGGUUAAUCUGGAGUUAUAAAUCAUACAUGUUUGUCUCUUUAUUUAUGUGAAUGCUAGAACCAAGGAGAAACUUAUAAAAGCGAUAGUCAAGUACCUUAAGGUGUUACCUUACUUGAAGAGUGACAGUACAGUAUCACCUUGUGGAAGCUUUCCUUUCUUAGCGGUUGUGCAUCGUGUUUGUGGCA